UUGGAGGGCAAGUCUGGUGCCAGCAGCCGCGGUAAUUCCAGCUCCAAUAGCGUAUAUUAAAGUUGUUGCAGUUAAAAAGCUCGUAGUUGAAUUUCGGGAUUGGCGUGAUGGUCAUGCCUUAAGGGGUAUGAACUGCUACAGUUGAUUUCUCACCUUCUGGAGAAACUUGAUGUCCUUUAUUGGGUGUCUUGCGGAUCCAGGACCUUUACCUUGAAAAAAUUAGAGUGUUUAAAGCAGGCAUUUUUGCUCGAAUACAUUAGCAUGGAGUAAUAGAAUAGGACGGCAUGGUUCUAUUUUGUUGGUUUCUAGGAUCACCGUGAUGAUUAAUAGGGAUAGUUGGGGGCAUUAGUAUUCAAUUGUCAGAGGUGAAAUUCUUGGAUUUAUUGAAGACUAACUACUGCGAAAGCAUUUGCCAAGGAUGUUUUCAUUAAUCAAGAACGAAAGUUAGGGGAUCGAAGACGAUCAGAUACCGUCGUAGUCUUAACCAUAAACUAUGCCGACUAGGAAUCAGACGAUGUUAAUUUUUUAAUGACUCGUUUGGCACCUUACGGGAAACCAAAGUGUUUGGGUUC
rnacentral:rRNA from 1 species